CCGACACCCCCAGACUGAACUGAAAGAGACCACAGGUGUGAUCAGAACCAACAGGUCCAGAAGUUAAAAGCUCCGCCUCCUCAGUACUCUGUACAUUUAGGAACCGAGGACUGGAUCAGAAGUUCUGGACCAGGACUACAGGUUUCCUGUUGGAYCCAGCAGACCCGGUCCAGACUGACCUGCAGGUCUGGGUCAUCAGACAGGAUGAAACCCGGGUCCAUCAGGGACACAGUGAAGUACAGCAGCACCGACACCAGAACCAGCAGGACGAACAGAACCGGCUGCACCAGCUGACCCGUCUCCUCCUGCUUCCUCAGCUCUGUCGGAACAGAACCGAGCUGAMGAUCAGAACCACAAACAACGAGCCGUCCGAACCGGUCCGGAUUGUCAGAACCCACCUGUAUCGUGAAGGAAGAGGAUCAGCGUUACGACCCACGUCAGAACCACAUGAGCCGUUCUCACCAGAAAACCCGAACCGAACACAUUCUUGAACAUGGUCCUAGCAUGUUAGCACCUCCAUCGGAACCUUCAGAUGGACCGGGGGGAGGGGGGGGCACCGAACCACCGAACCACCCGCUAAUGUUGUUAGCAAAACCUGACGGAGACGAAGCACUUAUAGGAUAAUUUCUCUGUUAUUUUAACAUUUAUUCUUCAUAUAAAUCUGUAUUUAUCAACGGAAUGAGUCAAAUACUGAGUAAAUGAUCCAAAACCGGAGAAAUGUGAAAGAUUUGGGUCGAACCGUCAGUAUUUGGACAGAAACCGUUAGCCUUCCUGUGGAUGUGUUCAGUCUGAUCAGUGAGCAGCCUGAUUGGUUAGCGGAGGUCACGUGACUGCUGAACACCAAUCCAGGACGAGAGGCUGCUGUGACGCAGCACGGCGGCCGCCAUCUUACUCAGGGAAGUCUGGAGAAAUUAUCCAAAACAAGUAAAACAUCCGUUCAGUUAAA